CGUACGAGCGCACCCUUGUCCUUAGUUACCAUCAUUAAGUUGGGGACUCUAAGGAGACUGCCGGUGACAAACCGGAGGAAGGCGGGGACGACGUCAAGUCAUCAUGGCCCUUACGAGUAGGGCUACACACGUGCUACAAUGGCAAGUACAGAGGGUUGCGAAGCAGCAAUGUGAAGCUAAUCCCAGAAAGCUUGUCGUAGUCCGGAUUGGAGUCUGCAACUCGACUCCAUGAAGUCGGAAUCGCUAGUAAUCGUGAAUCAGAAUGUCACGGUGAAUACGUUCCCGGGCCUUGUACACACCGCCCGUCACACCAUGGGAGUGGGUUGCUCCAGAAGUAGAUAGCCUAACCUUCGGGGGGGCGUUUACCACGGAGUGAUUCAUGACUGGGGUGAAGUCGUAACAAGGUAGCCCUAGGGGAACCUGGGGCUGGAUCACCUCCUU
rnacentral:rRNA from 1 species